rnacentral:lncRNA from 1 species
AUGUAUUGCAUGGUUCAGUACGUAUUGCAGUUGGAGCGUCACAGUUCGGUACGUAUUGCAGUUGGGGGUUUACGGUACAUAUUGCAGUUGGAGGGUCACGGUAUGUAUCGCGGUUGGAGGGUCACGUACAUAUUGCAGUUGGAGGGACACGAUAUGUAUCGCAGUUGGAGGUUCACGGUACGUAUUGCAGUUGGAGGUUCACGGUACGUAUUGCAGUUGGAGGGUCACGGUACUGUAUGUAUUGCAUGGUUCAGUACGUAUUGCAGUUGGAGCAUCACAGUUUGGUACAUAUUGCAGUUGGGGGGGUCACGAUACAUAUUGCAGUUGGGGGGGUCACGAUACAUAUUGCAGUUGGGGGGGUCACGAUACAUAUUGCAGUUGGGGGGGUCACGAUACAUAUUGCAGUUGGGGGGGUCACGAUACAUAUCACAGUUAGAGGGUCACGGUUCGGUACACAUUGCAGUUCGAGGGUUAAGCUACGUAUUGCAGUUAAAGGGUCGCUGUUCAGUAUAUAUUGCAGUUUGGGGUCACAGUAUAUAUUGCAGUUUGGAGGGUCAUGGUACAGUACGUAUUGAAAUUGGAGGGUCACGGAACAUAUUGCAGUUGGAGGGUUACGGUACAUAUCGCAAAAAGAGCGUCAUGGUUCAGUAUGUAUUGCUGUUGGAGGGUCACGGUACAUAUUGCAGUUGGAGGGUCACGGUACAGUACGUAUUGCAGUUGGAGGGUCACGGUACGUAUUGCAGUUGGAGGGUCACGGUACGUAUUGCAGUUGGAGGGUCACGGUACAUAUUGCAAUUGGGGGGGUCACGAUACAUAUUGCAAUUGGGGGGGGUCACGAUACAUAUUGCAGUUGCAGGCUCACGGUAUAUAUUGCAGUUGGAGGGUCACAGUACUGUAUGUAUUGCAUGGUUCAGUACGUAUUGCAGUUGGAGGGUCACGGUACAGAAUGUAUUGCAGUUGGAGGGUCAGGGUACAGUAUGUAUUGCAGUUGGAGGGUCACGGUACAGUAGGUUUUGCAGUUGGAGGGUCAUGGUACAGUAG